UCGGUAAUGCAUGGGGAGAAGCUGCCUUACUUUUAGCAGCUGGUGCAAGGGGGAACCGUUCUGCUUUGCCAUCUUCGACAAUCAUGAUGAAGCAGCCAAUUGCAAGAUUUCAAGGUCAAGCAACAGAUAUCGAUCUUGCCAGGAAAGAAGUGAAGAAUGUCAAGGCAGAGUUGCUUAAACUCUAUGCGAAGCAUAUUGGAAAAACACCAGAGGAAAUCGAAGCUGACAUCCGAUGACCUAAAUAUUUUAGUCCUAGUGAAGCGGUUGAGUAUGGUAUCAUAGACAAGGUGCUAUACAAUGAGACGAGCAGUGAA